rnacentral:rRNA from 1 species
AGAGUUUGAUCAUGGCUCAGAUUGAACGCUGGCGGCAGGCCUAACACAUGCAAGUCGAGCGGCAGCACUUCGGGUGGCGAGCGGCGGACGGGUGAGUAACACGUAGGAAUCUACCUAGUAGUGGGGGAUAGCCCGGGGAAACUCGGAUUAAUACCGCAUACGCUCUACGGAGGAAAGGGGGCUUCGGCUCUCGCUAUUAGAUGAGCCUGCGUCGGAUUAGCUAGUUGGUAGGGUAAAGGCCUACCAAGGCUACGAUCCGUAACUGGUCUGAGAGGAUGAUCAGUCACACUGGAACUGAGACACGGUCCAGACUCCUACGGGAGGCAGCAGUGGGGAAUAUUGGACAAUGGGGGCAACCCUGAUCCAGCCAUGCCGCGUGUGUGAAGAAGGCCUUCGGGUUGUAAAGCACUUUCAGUUGGGAGGAAAAGUUUGUGGUUAAUACCCACGAGCCGUGACGUUACCAACAGAAGAAGCACCGGCUAACUCCGUGCCAGCAGCCGCGGUAAAUACGGAGGGUGCAAGCGUUAAUCGGAAUUACUGGGCGUAAAGCGCGCGUAGGCGGCUUGUUAAGCGGAAUGUGAAAUCCCCGGGCUCAACCUGGGCACUGCAUUCCGAACUGGCUGGCUAGAGUGUGGUAGAGGAAGGUGGAAUUCCAGGUGUAGCGGUGAAAUGCGUAGAUAUCUGGAGGAACAUCAGUGGCGAAGGCGACCUUCUGGACCAACACUGACGCUCAGGUGCGAAAGCGUGGGGAGCAAACAGGAUUAGAUACCCUGGUAGUCCACGCCGUAAACGAUGUCUACUAGCCGUUGGGGUCCUUGAGACUUUAGUGGCGCAGCUAACGCGAUAAGUAGACCGCCUGGGGAGUACGGCCGCAAGGUUAAAACUCAAAUGAAUUGACGGGGGCCCGCACAAGCGGUGGAGCAUGUGGUUUAAUUCGACGCAACGCGAAGAACCUUACCUACUCUUGACAUCUACAGAAGUCUGCAGAGAUGCGGAUGUGCCUUCGGGAACUGUAAGACAGGUGCUGCAUGGCUGUCGUCAGCUCGUGUUGUGAAAUGUUGGGUUAAGUCCCGUAACGAGCGCAACCCUUGUCCUUAUUUGCCAUCAUUUAGUUGGGAACUCUAAGGAGACUGCCGGUGACAAACCGGAGGAAGGCGGGGACGACGUCAAGUCAUCAUGCCCCUUACGAGUAGGGCUACACACGUGCUACAAUGGGGCGUACAAAGGGUUGCCAAGCCGCGAGGUGGAGCUAAUCCCAUAAAGCGUCUCGUAGUCCGGAUUGGAGUCUGCAACUCGACUCCAUGAAGUCGGAAUCGCUAGUAAUCGUAAAUCAGAAUGUUACGGUGAAUACGUUCCCGGGCCUUGUACACACCGCCCGUCACACCAUGGGAGUGGGUUGCUCCAGAAGUAGAUAGCUUAACCUUCGGGAGGGCGUUUACCACGGAGUGAUUCAUGACUGGGGUGAAGUCGUAACAAGGUA